CAGGAAUAUGCCACUCGAAUCCUCUAGACAACGCGAUCCUCGCCGUCACCUGCAUUCUCUGAAAAAAUAAUAGCGAUGAGUGAGCCGCUAGCUCAGUGAGUAAUAAACUUAACCACAACCAUUUUAAUGGGGACAAGUCAGAAAACAUCAUGAAAUAACUGUUCCUUCAGAAAACAGUAUCAAUAAAUAAUAUCAUUGUUUCAUGUAAGACAAGUGAACCAAUAGUUCAAUAAUAAACUUCAAAAACAUCGUAUCAUAUCAAAUAUUACAUAUUUGGGAGGUUUCCAAGAAUGAAUCAUGUAAUCAGUGUGGCAUUCUUCUUCAUUAAGAAUAGCCCAUAAUAGUGGACCCCUCACAAAGGAGUCAAAUAUCAUAUCAGUAUGCUAGUUCUACUUUUCCACUAGCGGGGGCUGUAACAGACAUCAGUAAAUACAAGGCGCACCAGGUCUAACGAUCCCGUCAUUAGCUACGGGAUUUAAAUCAAGAUCUGCUCCCAUUUAUAAAUUCUUUUUAAAUAAUAGGAUAUUCAUAUGAAAUUAUUUUUCAGAAUAAUACAUAUCAUUUAAAGUUCAUAUCAAAUCAUGUCACAUAUAAACUUGAAUAAAAACACAUGUCAAAAAUACUUAUUUCUCAUGUUAGUGAAAAUAUUUACCAUAAUAAUAUCAUAUCUCAAAUAACCAUUUCAAUAUCAUAUCGAGAUCAUAUCUCAAAUAACCAUUUCAAUAUCAUAUCGAGAUCAUAUCUCAAAUAACCAUUUCAAUAUCAUAUCGAGAUCAUAUCUCAAAUAACCUUUCAAUAUCAUAUCAAGAUCAUAUCUCAAAUAACCUUUUCACUAUCAUAUCAAAAUCAUAUAUCAAAUAACCGUUUCAAUAUCAUAUCAAAUAAAGGACUUGUCCCACAUACAAUUUCAACGUAUAUCAUAACUCAUUAUUUUAUCAAAAAUAUUUAUAAAUAUGCAAUUUAAUAAACACAAAUCAUUAUAAUAUUGCUACUCACAGUAUAAUUUUUGAAAUACCAACUUGUCACCUCGACCAAUUGAUAGGACUUCCUUCGAUAGAAUCUUAAACCCGAAAGAAUUUUAUGAUCAAGAUCCCGCCCCUUCGGUUGGUUUUCACUGGACGAACAAUCUAUUCUACAUUUUC
rnacentral:lncRNA from 1 species